AUUGAACGCUGGCGGCAUGCUUUACACAUGCAAGUCGAACGGCAGCGAGGAGAAGCUUGCUUCUCUGUCGGCGAGUGGCGAACGGGUGAGUAUAGCAUCGGAACGUGCCAAGUAGUGGGGGAUAACCAAACGAAAGUUUGGCUAAUACCGCGUAAGCUCCAAGGAGGAAAGUAGGGGACCUAAAUAAGGCCUUACGCUAUUUGAUCGGCCGAUGUCGGAUUAGCUAGUUGGUGGGGUAAUGGCUCACCAAGGCAAUGAUCCGUAGCGGGUCUGAGAGGAC
rnacentral:rRNA from 1 species